rnacentral:misc_RNA from 1 species
UAUGUAGCUUGCCUGAGUAGUCCAGCAGACAGCCCCUUGUAAAAGGCAGCAACACCCUCCUCCUUUAGCAUGUUCUUUGUCACCUGAGCCGCUGAGCCUUGACCCAAUUGAAUCCUCACCUUAAUCAUAUCGAUGGGCUGGAUGACACAGGUGGCAAGCAUACCUGAGGCACCACCAUUAACGAAAGGCUUAACGGUAGGCCAAACACCAGCUGAUUGAGGCUUCUUCUCUUCUCCCAUUACUGUGCUUUCUUCUUUGGAUUCCAACGAACUGAGAGAGAGAGAGAGAGAGAGAGAGAG